GACGUAGGAUGCAAGCGUUGUCCGGAUUCAUUGGGCGUAAAGAGUUCGUAGGCGGUUUGUUAAGUCUGAUGUUAAAGAUUGGGGCUCAACCCUGAAAGUGCAUUGGAUACUGGCAGACUGGAGUGCAGUAGAGGCGAGUGGAAUUCCUAGUGUAGCGGUGAAAUGCGUAGAUAUUGGGAAGAACACCGGUGGCGCAGGCGACUCGCUGGGCUGUAACUGACGCUGAGGAACGAAAGCUAGGGGAGCAAAUGGG
rnacentral:rRNA from 1 species